CCCGCACAAGCGGUGGAGCAUGUGGUUUAAUUCGAUGCAACGCGAAGAACCUUACCUGCCCUUGACAUCCUGGGAACCGGCCCGAGAGGGUUGGGUGCCUUCGGGAGCCCAGAGACAGGUGCUGCAUGGCUGUCGUCAGCUCGUGUCGUGAGAUGUUGGGUUAAGUCCCGCAACGAGCGCAACCCUUGUCCCUGAUUGCCAGCGGUUCGGCCGGGCACUUGAGGGAGACUGCCGGUGAUAAACCGGAGGAAGGUGGGGAUGACGUCAAGUCAUCAUGGCCUUUAUGGGCAGGGCGACACACGUGCUACAAUGGGCGGUACAACGGGUAGCCAAGCCGCGAGGCGGAGCCAAUCCCCAAAAGCCGCUCGUAGUCCGGAUCGGAGUCUGCAACUCGACUCCGUGAAGUCGGAAUCGCUAGUAAUCGUGGAUCAGCCAUGCCACGGUGAAUACGUUCCCGGGCCUUGUACACACCGCCCGUCACACCAUGGGAGUUGGCGGCACCAGAAGCCGGUAGCUGAACCUUCGGGAAGGCGCCGACCACGGUGUGGUCAAUGACUGGGGUGAAGUCGUAACAAGGUAGCCG
rnacentral:rRNA from 1 species